GGACAACAGUUGGAAACGACUGCUAAUACCGCAUAAGCCCACGGCUCGGCAUCGAGCAGAGGGAAAAGGAGCAAUCCGCUUUGAGAUGGCCUCGCGUCCGAUUAGCUAGUUGGUGAGGUAAUGGCCCACCAAGGCGACGAUCGGUAGCCGGACUGAGAGGUUGAACGGCCACAUUGGGACUGAGACACGGCCCAGACUCCUACGGGAGGCAGCAGUGGGGAAUAUUGCACAAUGGGGGAAACCCUGAUGCAGCGACGCCGCGUGGAGGAAGAAGGUCUUCGGAUUGUAAACUCCUGUUGUUGAGGAAGAUAAUGACGGUACUCAACAAGGAAGUGACGGCUAACUACGUGCCAGCAGCCGCGGUAAAACGUAGGUCACAAGCGUUGUCCGGAAUUACUGGGUGUAAAGGGAGCGCAGGCGGGAAGACAAGUUGGAAGUGAAAUCCAUGGGCUCAACCCAUGAACUGCUUUCAAAACUGUUUUUCUUGAGUAGUGCAGAGGUAGGCGGAAUUCCCGGUGUAGCGGUGGAAUGCGUAGAUAUCGGGAGGAACACCAGUGGCGAAGGCGGCCUGCUGGGCACCAACUGACGCUGAGGCUCGAAAGUGUGGGUAGCAAACAGGAUUAGAUACCCUGGUAGUCCACACUGUAAACGAUGAUUACUAGGUGUUGGAGGAUUGACCCCUUCAGUGCCGCAG
rnacentral:rRNA from 1 species